rnacentral:rRNA from 1 species
UACGUAGGGUGCGAGCGUUGUCCGGAAUUAUUGGGCGUAAAGAGCUCGUAGGCGGUGUGUCACGUCGGUCGUGAAAACUUUCAGCUUAACUGGGAGCUUGCGGUCGAUACGGGCAUCACUUGAGUUCGGCAGGGGAGACUGGAAUUCCUGGUGUAGCGGUGAAAUGCGCAGAUAUCAGGAGGAACACCGGUGGCGAAGGCGGGUCUCUGGGCCGAUACUGACGCUGAGGAGCGAAAGCGUGGGGAGCGAACAGG